rnacentral:lncRNA from 1 species
UUUGGCUCCGGCGCCGUGCGGAGGAUUUGGGAGAUUUGAGCUGGAGCAGAGCGAGGAUUAAUUUGGAUUAUUGGGAUAUUAGCUGCAAUAUUAGCUGGUUUACAGGGAUGAAGUCUCCGGGGCACAAACACCCAUCGGCCCCAAAUUAAAGCGCUAAUGAGCUGGAAUAAGGUGCGAGGGGAAACUGAGGCACGGACUGGAGCCAACCCUCGCCCCACGAUCCCCCCGGGGCCUCCAUCGCCCUCCCCGGGGCUUUUCCGAGUUCAUUUCGAAGCCGUCGCUCUCGCCCAUUUCGUUUCCUGCUUUGGAGGUUUCGCUCUUCGCUCAAAACCCGACGGGGAAAUUCCCUCCCCCAAAUUUGCUUCUGCUCGAUUUUCGGGCGGCCGCCACUCUCGGCUCGACAUCACCGCGGCCACCGGGCAGGGCCAGCACGGUCCUCAGCAGGGUGAUUCCCUGCCCCCCGCCCUGCCCAGGUGUGAUGGACGUGCAGGAGGUGCUCCUGCAGCUCUGGGGGGAGGUGGCCAGGCUGCAGGAGCUGUGCUCGGAGCAGGGGAGGCUCCUCCGGAGGCUGAGGGCCAGGAAGGGACCGGUCCUGGGUGAGU